GAUGAAGAACGUAGCGAAAUGCGAUAAGUAAUGUGAAUUGCAGAGUUCAGUGAAUCAUCGAAUCUUUGAACGCACAUUGCGCCCGCCAGUAUUCUGGCGGGCAUGCCUGUUCGAGCGUCAUUUCAACCAUCAAGCCCUGCUUGCGUUGGGGUCCUGCGGCUGCCCGCAGGCCCUGAAAACCAGUGGCGGGCUCGCUAGUCACACCGAGCGCAGUAAUACAUCUCGCUUUGGGCGUGCGGCGGGUUCUUGCCGUUAAACACCCCCUUUUUACCAAGGUUGACCUCGGAUCAGGUAGGAAUACCCGCUGAACUUAAGCAUAUCAAUAAGCGGAGGA
rnacentral:misc_RNA from 1 species